AUUGAACGCUGGCGGCAUGCCUUACACACGCAAGUCGAACGGCAGCAUGAUCUAGCUUGCUAGAUUGAUGGCGAGUGGCGAACGGGUGAGUAAUACAUCGGAACGUGCCCUGUAGUGGGGGAUAACUAGUCGAAAGAUUAGCUAAUACCGCAUACGACCUGAGGGUGAAAGUGGGGGACCGCAAGGCCUCAUGCUCUAGGAGCGGCCGAUGUCUGAUUAGCUAGUUGGUGAGGUAAAGGCUCACCAAGGCGACGAUCAGUAGAUGGUCUGAGAGGACGAUCAGCCACACUGGGACUGAGACACGGCCCAGACUCCUACGGGAGGCAGCAGUGGGGAAUUUUGGACAAUGGGGGCAACCCUGAUCCAGCAAUGCCGCGUGUGUGAAGAAGGCCUUCGGGUUGUAAAGCACUUUUGUCCGGAAAGAAAUCGCACUUACUAAUAUUAGGUGUGGAUGACGGUACCGGAAGAAUAAGGACCGGCUAACUACGUGCCAGCCGCCGCUGUAAUAC
rnacentral:rRNA from 1 species